rnacentral:rRNA from 1 species
AAAAAGAAGCCUUCCACACUGAUGCAUUGCUAUGUAGAGUUUUCGAAGUAUCCAAAGUGGCAGACAAGAGAAGUUGAAACUUCUCUUAAGAAACAAAAGAAGACCAUUGAUGCAAGUCCGGGCACAGCCACCAAUGAUCUGGGUGAUGCAUCCUCGGUACGUACUGAUGCUACCUCGAUACGCACUGAUGCUCUUGAACAUGAGAAAAGACCUGAUGGUGUGAAGAAGGAUAAGAGAGGUAAAGCUGAUGACAGUGCUUGCAAGCUAUCAUUAGAAACUGUGGGCGCAGCAAAGCUAGAGAAGGAUGAGAUCAAAGAGGCGGCAAGAAAUGCUCGCUACGCACAGCAAUUGGAAUUGCGAAAAGAGAAGAUUGCACUCAAAAAAAAUGAAGAUGCACGAAAUGAGAGGGAGGAUGCACGGAGACAAAUUUAUAACUAG